rnacentral:lncRNA from 1 species
AUUGUUGUCGGUUCAGGAUUCGGCGUUGUGGGUUCUGCAUUGACAGUUGUUGGUCCUGCAGUUGUUGUUGUUGAUCCUGCGGAAUUUGUUAAUGUUGUUGUUGAUGGUCCUGCCGUUUGUUUUGGUAAAGCAGUUGUCGUUAUUGGUCCUGCAGUUGUUGUGUUUGGUUCAGGAGCUGUCAGUGUUGACACUGCACUUGUUGAUGAUCUUACAGUUGUUGUGUGUACUGCAGUUGUAGCUCUUGUACCAGCAGUUGUUGUUGGUUCAGCAGUUCUCGUUGUCAGUCCUGUAGUCGCUGUUUUUGGCAAUGCAGUCGUUGGUCCUACAGUUGGUGUUGUUUUUUCAGCAGUUGGUGAUGUUGGUUCAGCAGUUGCCGUUGUGGUUCCUGCAGUUAUUAUCUGUCCUGCAGUUGUUAUAUGUCCUGCAGUUGUGGUUGCAGGUUUUUCUGCAAAAGUUGUUGAUCCUGCAGUUGUCGAUGUUAGUUCAGCAGUUGUAGUAGUUGUUCCUGCCGUUGUUCUUGCAGUUUUCGCAGUCGUAGUUUUUGGCACUGCAGUCGUUGGUCCUACAGUUGGUGUUAUUUUUUCAGCAUUUGGCGUCGUUGGUCCUGCAGUUGUCGUUGGUAAAUUAGUUGUCGAUAACAGGCCUGUAGUUGAAGCUCUUGGUCCAGCAAUUGUUGUUAGUUCAGGAGUUCUCGUUGUCAGCCCUGUAGUUGCUGUUUUUGGCACUGCAGUCGUUGGUCCUACAGUUGGUGUUGUUUUUUCAGCAGUUGGCGUUGUUGGUUCAGCAGUCGCCGUUGUUGGUCCUGCAGUUGUUGUUGUUGAUCCUGCGGUAUUUGUUAAUGUUGUUGUUGAUGGUCUUGCCGUUUGUUUUGGUAAAGCAGUUGUCGUUAUUGGUCCUGCAGUUGUUGUGUUUGGUUCAGGAGCUGUCAGUGUUGAUACUGCACUUGUUGAUGAUAUUACAGUUGUUGUGUGUAUUGCAGUUGUAGUUCUUGGACCAGCAGUUGUUGUUGGUUUAGCAGUUGGGAUUGUUGGUCCUGCAGUCUUUGUUGUGGAUCCCGUGGUAGUAGUUAACGUAGUUGUUGUUGGUCCUGCAGCUGUUGUUGGUAAUGCAGUUGUCGAUAUUGAGCCUGCAGUUGAAGCUCUUGGUCCAGCAAUUGUGGUUGGUUCAGCAGUUCUAGUUGUUUUUGGCACUGCAGUCGUUGGUUCUACAGUUGGUGUUGUUUUUUCAGCAUUUGGAGUUGUUGGUCCUGCAGUUGUUGUUAGUAAAGCAGUUGUCGAUAUUUGGCCUGUAGUUGAAGCUCUUGGUCCAGCAAUUGUUGUUGGUUCAGCACUUCUCGUUGUCAGUCCUGUAGUCGCUGUUUUUGGCACCGCAGUCGUUGGUCCUACUGUUGGAGUUGUUUUCUGCAGUGGUCCUGCAGUUGUUGUGUUUGGUUCAGGAGCUGUCAGUGUUGAUACUGCACUUGUUGAUGAUCUUACAGUUGUUGUGUGUACUGCAGUUGUAGCUCUUGGACCAGCAGUUGUUGUUGGUUCAGCAGUUCUCGUUGUCAGUAUUGUAGUCGCUGUUUUUGGCACUGCAGUCGUUGGUCCUACAGUUGGUGUUGUUUUUUCAGCAGUUGGUGAUGUUGGUUCAGCAGUUGCCGUUGUGGUUCCUGCAGUUAUUAUCUGUCCUGCAGUUGUUAUAUGUCCUGCAGUUGUGGUUGCAGGUUUUUCUGCAAAAGUUGUUGAUCCUGCAGUUGUCGAUGUUAGUUCAGCAGUUGUAGUAGUUGUUCCUGCCGUUGUUCUUGCAGUUUUCGCAGUCGUAGUUUUUGGCACUGCAGUCGUUGGUCCUACAGUUGGUGUUAUUUUUUCAGCAUUUGGCGUCGUUGGUCCUGCAGUUGUCGUUGGUAAAGCAGUUGUCGAUAACAGGCCUGUAGUUGAAGCUCUUGGUCCAGCAAUUGUUGUUAGUUCAGGAGUUCUCGUUGUCAGUCCUGUAGUUGCUGUUUUUGGCACUGCAGUCGUUGGUCCUACAGUUGGUGUUGUUUUUUCAGCAGUUGGCGUUGUUGGUUCAGCAGUCGCCGUUGUUGGUCCUGCAGUUGUUGUUGUUGAUCCAGCUGUAUUUGUUAAUGUUGUUGUUGAUGGUCCUGCUGUUUGUUUUGGUAAAGCAGUUGUCGUUAUUGGUCCUGCAGUUGUUGUGUUUGGUUCAGGAACUGUCAGUGUUGAUACUGCACUUGUUGAUGAUAUUACAGUUGUUGUGUGUAUUGCAGUUGUAGUUCUUGGACCAGCAGUUGUUGUUUGUUUAGCAGUUGGGAUUGUUGGUCCUGCAGUCUUUGUUGUGGAUCCCGUGGUAGUAGUUAACGUAGUUGUUGUUGGUACUGCAGCUGUUGUUGGUAAUGCAGUUGUCGAUAUUGAGCCUGCAGUUGAAGCUCUUGGUCCAGCAAAUGUUGUUGGUUCAGCAGUUCUAGUUGUUUUUGGCACUGCAGUCGUUGGUUCUACAGUUGGUGUUGUUUUUUCAGCAUUUGGCGUUGUUGGUCCUGCAGUUGUUGUUAGUAAAGCAGUUGUCGAUAUUUGGCCUGUAGUUGAAGCUCUUGGUCCAGCAAUUGUUGUUGGUUCAGCACUUCUCGUUGUCAGUCCUGUAGUCGCUGUUUUUGGCACCGCAGUCGUUGGUCCUACUGUUGGAGUUGUUUUUUCAGCAGUUGGCGUUGUUGGUUCAGCAGUUGCCGUUGUGGUUCCUGCAGUUGUAGCUCCUGAUCCAUGA